rnacentral:rRNA from 1 species
UUUUCGGAUCGUAAAAAUUCUGUUGUUAGAGAAGAACAAGGAUGAGAGUAAAAUGUUCAUCCCUUGACGGUAUCUAACCAGAAAGCCACGGCUAACUACGUGCCAGCAGCCGCGGUAAUACGUAGGUGGCAAGCGUUGUCCGGAUUUAUUGGGCGUAAAGCGAGCGCAGGCGGUUUCUUAAGUCUGAUGGAAAGCCCCCGGCUCAACCGGGGAGGGUCAUUGGAAACUGGGAGACUUGAGUGCAGAAGAGGAGAGUGGAAUUCCAUGUGUAGCGGUGAAAUGCGUAGAUAUAUGGAGGAACACCAGUGGCGAAGGCGGCUCUCUGGUCUGUAACUGACGGUGAGGCUCGAAAGCGUGGGGAGCGAACAGGAUUAGAUACCCUGGUAGUCCACGCCGUAAACGAUGAGUGCUAAGUGUUGGAGGGUUUCCGCCCUUCAGUGCUGCAGCAAACGCAUUAAGCACUCCGCCUGGGGAGUACGACCGCAAGGUUGAAACUCAAAGGAAUUGACGGGGGCCCGCACAAGCGGUGGAGCAUGUGGUUUAAUUCGAAGCAACGCGAAGAACCUUACCAGGUCUUGACAUCCUUUGACCACUCUAGAGAUAGAGCUUCCCCUUSGGGGGCAAAGUGACAGGUGGUGCAUGGUUGUCGUCAGCUCGUGUCGUGAGAUGUUGGGUUAAGUCCCGCAACGAGCGCAACCCUUAUUGUUAGUUGCCAUCAUUUAGUUGGGCACUCUAGCGAGACUGCCGGUGACAAACCGGAGGAAGGUGGGGAUGACGUCAAAUCAUCAUGCCCCUUAUGACCUGGGCUACACACGUGCUACAAUGGGAAGUACAACGAGUUGCGAAGUCGCGAGGCUAAGCUAAUCUCUUAAAGCUUCUCUCAGUUCGGAUUGUAGGCUGCAACUCGCCUACAUGAAGCCGGAAUCGCUAGUAAUCGCGGAUCAGCACGCCGCGGUGAAUACGUUCCCGGGCCUUGUACACACCGCCCGUCACACCACGAGAGUUUGUAACACCCGAAGUCGGUGAGGUAACC